CCUACGGGCGGCUGCAGUAAGGAAUAUUGGUCAAUGGACGCAAGUCUGAACCAGCCAUGCCGCGUGGAGGAUGAAGGUCCUCUGGAUUGUAAACUUCUUUUAUUUGGGAAGAAACUCCCGAUUUCCAUCGGGAUUGACGGUACCAGAUGAAUAAGCACCGGCUAACUCCGUGCCAGCAGCCGCGGUAAUACGGAGGGUGCAAGCGUUACCCGGAUUCACUGGUGUUUAGGGGGGCAUGUAUGGGCGUGUUGACAUCUCCGGGCUUAACCCGGAAACUGCCAUUGAUACUAUUUGUCUGGAAUACUAUGGAGGUGAGCGGAAUAUGUCAUGUAGCGGUGAAAUGCUUAGAUAUGACAUAGAACACCCAUUGCGAAGGCAGCUCACUACGGAAAUAUUGACGCUGAGGCACGAAAGCGUGGGGAUCAAACAGGAUUAGAUACCCGUGUAGUC
rnacentral:rRNA from 1 species